GAUGAACGCUGGCGGCGUGCUUAACACAUGCAAGUCGAACGAUGAAGCCCAGCUUGCUGGGUGGAUUAGUGGCGAACGGGUGAGUAACACGUGAGUAACCUGCCCUUAACUCUGGGAUAAGCCUGGGAAACUGGGUCUAAUACCGGAUAGGAGCGCCUACCGCAUGGUGGGUGUUGGAAAGAUUUAUCGGUUUUGGAUGGACUCGCGGCCUAUCAGCUUGUUGGUGAGGUAAUGGCUCACCAAGGCGACGACGGGUAGCCGGCCUGAGAGGGUGACCGGCCACACGGGGACUGAGACACGGCCCAGACGCCUACGGGAGGCAGCAGUGGGGAAUAUUGCACAAUGGGCGAAAGCCUGAUGCAGCGACGCCGCGUGAGGGAUGACGGCCUUCGGGUUGUAAACCUCUUUCAGUAGGGAAGAAGCGAAAGUGACGGUACCUGCAGAAGAAGCACCGGCUAACUACGUG
rnacentral:rRNA from 1 species